rnacentral:rRNA from 1 species
AUGUGCAGACCGGCCAAAGAUCUUCAUAUCUGGAGCAAGAAUCUCAUCGGUGACACCAAGCUUCAGUUCCAUGUCGCAUUUGAAGUGAUUUUCCGCCUCGACACUGCUCAGGAGAGACGACGACUCUCGACGGCAGAAGCGGAGCUCAGAAAAGGCCUGAAGGUCAGGUUGCUGGGCCUGGUAGCGAUUGAGCGAUGCAGAAAAAGGCAAGCUUCCCGCCUAACCUGGCUCCGUGCGGGAGACGCCCCCACCAAAUUCUUCAUGGCCAAAAUCAGCUCUAGAAGGCGCAAGAACUUCAUCAGUGCCAUAAAAGUGGGAGACAAGAUGGUGACUGCACACGAGGAGAAGGGAAAAGCUAUACAUGAUCAUUUCAACUGCAUCUUGGGAUCCACACAGCACCGACCCGCGUCGAUCAACUAGGAUGAGCUGCGAUUGCCUUCGACGCAAGCAAACGGCCUGGACAACCCGUUCUCCGAGGAAGAAGUUUGGGCUGCAAUUAAGGAUUCACCUGCGGAGAAAUCACUAGGGCCUGAUGGAUUUUGUGGUGUUUUCUUCCGUAGUUGCUGGAGCGUUAUAAAGUCGGAUGUCAUGCAGGCGUUCCAGUAG